AGUCGAGCGAAGCCUUCGGGCUUAGCGGCGGACGGGUUAGUAACGCGUGGGAACGUGCCCUUCACUACGGAAUAGUCCCGGGAAACUGGGUUUAAUACCGUAUACGCCCUUCGGGGGAAAGAUUUAUCGGUGAAGGAUCGGCCCGCGUUAGAUUAGAUAGUUGGUGGGGUAAUGGCCUACCAAGUCUACGAUCUAUAGCUGGUUUGAGAGGAUGAUCAGCAACACUGGGACUGAGACACGGCCCAGACUCCUACGGGAGGCAGCAGUGGGGAAUCUUAGACAAUGGGCGCAAGCCUGAUCUAGCCAUGCCGCGUGAGUGAUGAAGGCCUUAGGGUCGUAAAGCUCUUUCGCCAGGGAUGAUAAUGACAGUACCUGGUAAAGAAACCCCGGCUAACUCCGUGCCAGCAGCCGCGGUAAUACGGAGGGGGUUAGCGUUGUUCGGAAUUACUGGGCGUAAAGCGCACGUAGGCGGAUUAGUCAGUCAGAGGUGAAAUCCCAGGGCUCAACCCUGGAACUGCCUUUGAUACUGCUAGUCUUGAGUUCGAGAGAGGUGAGUGGAAUUCCGAGUGUAGAGGUGAAAUUCGUAGAUAUUCGGAGGAACACCAGUGGCGAAGGCGGCUCACUGGCUCGAUACUGACGCUGAGGUGCGAAAGUGUGGGGGAGCAAACAGGAUUGAUACCCUGGUAGUCCACACCGUAAACGAUGAAUGCCAGUCGUCGGCAAGCAUGC
rnacentral:rRNA from 1 species